UUUACUGUCUCUUACUUCCAAUCCGUGAAAUUGACCUUCCCGUGAAAAGGCGGGAAUACAACAAUAAGACAAGAAAACCCUAUGGAGCUUUAAUUAACCGACCCCAAGAGACCCCUUAAUUUUACCGACAGGAACAACAAACCUCUGUAUGGGCCGACAAUUUAGGUUGGGGGGACCUCGGAGAACAGAACAACCUCCGAGUGAUUUAAAUCAAGACUAACCAGUCGAAAGUAUUACAUCACUUAUUGAUCCAAAAGUUUGAUCAACGGAACAAGUUACCCUAGGGAUAACAGCGCAAUCCUAUUUCAGAGUCCAUAUCGACAAUAGGGUUU
rnacentral:rRNA from 1 species